rnacentral:rRNA from 1 species
GCCCGAAAGGGUUGCUAAUACCGCAUGUGGUGACAUGUUCGUUCAUGUCACAAAGCCGCAAGGCGCUUCGGGAGGGGCCUGCGUCCGAUUAGCUCGUUGGGGGGUAACGGCUCACCAAGGCGACGAUCGGUAGGUGGUCUGAGAGGACGUCACCCAGACUGGGACUGAGACACGGCCCAGACUCCUACGGGAGGCAGCGUCGGGAAUUUUGCUCAAUGGGCGAAAGCCUGAAGCAGCAACGCCGCGUAGGGAUGACGGCCUUCGGGUUGUAAACCUCUUUUCUCAGGGACGAUAAUACGGUACCUGAGGAAUAAGCCACGGCUAACUACGUGCCAGCAGCCGCGGUAUACGUAGGUGGCAAGCGUUGUCCGGAUUUACUGGGCGUAAAGAGCGCGAGGCGGUCGAGCAAGUCGAGUGUGAAAGCCCCCGGCUCAACUGGGGAGGUCAUUCGAUACUGCUCGACUCGAAGGCGGGAGAGGGAAGUGGAAUU